GCUGCUCACUUAAAGGGUGGUGCCAAGAAUGUCAUCAUUUCUGCUCCAAGCAAGGAUGCACCUAUGUUUGUGGUGGGAGUGAAUGAGCAUGCAUACACAUCUGACAUCAAUAUUGUCUCCAAUGCUAGCUGCACCACCAACUGCCUUGCCCCUCUUGCAAAGGUCAUUCAUGAUAGAUUUGGAAUUGCGGAAGGUUUGAUGACGACUAUGCAUUCCAUCACUG